GAUGAACGCUGGCGGCGUGCCUAAUACAUGCAAGUCGAGCGAACAGACGAGGAGCUUGCUCCUCUGACGUUAGCGGCGGACGGGUGAGUAACACGUGGAUAACCUACCUAUAAGACUGGGAUAACUUCGGGAAACCGGAGCUAAUACCGGAUAAUAUAUUGAACCGCAUGGUUCAAUAGUGAAAGACGGUUUUGCUGUCACUUAUAGAUGGAUCCGCGCCGCAUUAGCUAGUUGGUAAGGUAACGGCUUACCAAGGCAACGAUGCGUAGCCGACCUGAGAGGGGGAUCGCCGCCACUGGAAGUGAGACGCGGUCCAGACUCCUACGGGAGGCAGCAGUAGGGAAUCUUCCGCAAAGGGCGAAAGCCUGACGGAGCAACGCCGGGUGAGUGAUGAAGGUCUUCGGAUCGUAAAACUCUGUUAUUAGGGAAGACCAAAUGUGUAAGUAACUAUGCACGUCUUGACGGUACCGAAACAGAAAGCCACGGCUAACUACGU
rnacentral:rRNA from 1 species